rnacentral:rRNA from 1 species
CGCUGGCGGCGUGCCUAAUACAUGCAAGUCGAGCGAACAGAUAAGGAGCUUGCUCCUUUGACGUUAGCGGCGGACGGGUGAGUAACACGUGGGUAACCUACCUAUAAGACUGGAAUAACUCCGGGAAACCGGGGCUAAUGCCGGAUAACAUUUAGAACCGCAUGGUUCUAAAGUGAAAGAUGGUUUUGCUAUCACUUAUAGAUGGACCCGCGCCGUAUUAGCUAGUUGGUAAGGUAAUGGCUUACCAAGGCAACGAUACGUAGCCGACCUGAGAGGGUGAUCGGCCACACUGGAACUGAGACACGGUCCAGACUCCUACGGGAGGCAGCAGUAGGGAAUCUUCCGCAAUGGGCGAAAGCCUGACGGAGCAACCCCCCGUGAGUGAUGAAGGGUUUCGGCUCGUAAAACUCUGUUAUUAGGGAAGAACAAACGUGUAAGUAACUGUGCACGUCUUGACGGUACCUAAUCAGAAAGCCACGGCUAACUACGUGCCAGCAGCCGCGGUAAUACGUAGGUGGCAAGCGUUAUCCGGAAUUAUUGGGCGUAAAGCGCGCGUAGGCGGUUUCUUAAGUCUGAUGUGAAAGCCCACGGCUCACC